GACGAACGCUGGCGGCGUGCUUAACACAUGCAAGUCGAACGGAAAGGCCCUGCUUUUGUGGGGUGCUCGAGUGGCGAACGGGUGAGUAACACGUGAGUAACCUGCCCUUGACUUUGGGAUAACUUCAGGAAACUGGGGCUAAUACCGGAUAGGAGCUCCUGCUGCAUGGUGGGGGUUGGAAAGUUUCGGCGGUUGGGGAUGGACCCGCGGCUUAUCAGCUUGUUGGUGGGGUAGUGGCUUACCAAGGCUUUGACGGGUAGCCGGCCUGAGAGGGUGACCGGCCACAUUGGGACUGAGAUACGGCCCAGACUACUACGGGAGGCAGCGGUGGGGAAUAUUGCACAAUGGGCGGAAGCCUGAUGCAGCAACGCCGCGUGCGGGAUGACGGCCUUCGGGUUGUAAACCGCUUUCGCCUGUGACGAAGCGUGAGUGACGGUAAUGGGUAAAGAAGCACCGGCUAACUACGUG
rnacentral:rRNA from 1 species